UAAUUUAUAAUUAUCCUAAUUCUAGGGUUAUCCCCCUUUAUAUCCAAACGCUAAUUUUUUUAUCCAAGAAUAGUAGUUCUCGGUUAUCCUGACCAACACCUUUAUUUUCUAUAUAAAACUACUUAAAAUUGUUUUUAUCCCCGGAAACAACCCAAUUUUCAUCCAAACACUAUUUUUUUUAUCCCCAUACUUAUAUCUAUUCCUGUAACAGCUAGUUCUUGCUUAUACCCGAACCAAACGGUUAGACGAGUCAAAUUAAUUACUGGCAAUCUACAAUUGGUCAAUUCCUUUUUGGAGUCCUAUUCUAUGUUCUAAUUAUUCUCAAGUUUGGAUUGGAUUCUUAAGCUGAGGCUAUAUAUACACGAAUGGCUAUUCUUUGUGGGUGUGCUUUAUAUGAGAUUAAUUAAGUGUGCGUUUCAGAGGCUUAGUUUGGUAUUGAGCUGGAUCUAAUACUAUUAAAUAAAAUGGAGUUGAGGAAACGCAUAUAAGAAUAUGCUUUUGCGUUCUCCGAUAAAAAUUCAGAAAAUAUAUCGUAACCCAUUAACCGUAAUAUGCAGAACGCAAUAUUAUGUACGAAAACAAAUAAAAUAUUUUUCUAUCGUUGUUUCUCCCCGCAACAGUGCGUGUUGAAAAGGCCGAGCGAGCCGGGCUUGUUGGUGCGCACGCUAAAUCUCAGGUCGGUAAGAGGCUGAGCCGAUUAAUCUGACUGUACGGACGCAGCUUGAUAAUUCGUCCAUACAUUGUGGUGUGGUUUAGAUAUAUUUUAGAUUUGGGUAUUUGAGAGAGAUAUUAAUUUUGUAUUUUAUCUUUGACAGUAAUAAAGUUUUACUUCAUCUUCGUCCGUGAAUAUUUGCUGGUGGUCAAACCACAUAAACAUUGUACUUUUCAUUUUUUUUCUCUAUUUUUUCGAUUCUUUUUUGGUAUUUUAUGCCUGAUAAAUUAAAUCUUUUUGGCUUUUACCACAAUAGGCCUUGAUGGAGGAAAUUUAUACUAAUUGGAUUCAAAUUUCUUACUCAAAAAUAUAUCUUUCAUUUGCUUAAUUAGUAACAAUCGCACGAUUUAAUUAGAACCCGCUGAAAGAGUGAAGUUACUUUUUGUCUAUUAUUAUAGAAAAUAGUUACGUCAUCUACAUUAUAGGACUAAUUAGUUUAGUUAUUUUAUUUCGUUUCGUAUAAUUACAACUUCUAUAAUUAUAUAUAUGCACAUAAGCAUAUAUAUAUAUAUAUAGAGAGAGAGAGAGAGAGAGAGAGAGAGAAGGUCUUGUGCGCUAUUAGAAGUAUAGAGACCUCCGAUUUUGAUGAUGGGAUUUUCAAAUAGACAAUCGGCUUUGUUAGACUUAAUCUAGCGUAUUUAAACUAUUUUGAAAAUAAAUUUUGCAGUUUUUCGAUAUUAUUUACCUAGUAAUCGAAAUAAUUCAAAAUCAACGAAUGAAAAUAAAAAUAUCAUAAAAUAUUAUGAUGUAGCACUAAAAUUUUCGAUCAUAAAUAUUGAUCUUGUUGUAGAUAAUAUAAAUAAUUUUUUAUCAAAAUUUUAUAUGAUUUGAAUACUUCUACACCGUUAAACUUGCAAAAUAUCAGCCGUUAAAAAUUGAUGAUUAUAUAACACUUAUACUACAUCAUUAUUAAUUCGCUAAUCAUAUCAUUUUUUAGGAAAAAAGUACAAUAAAAAUAUUUUUUUAAUAAUCAUCAAAAGAAAAUAAUCUAAUUAGUUGGAGACGCCACAUCGGCAAUAUAAUUGGUGUAUUCUAGACUUUUUCCUUAUUUAUAGUGUUUGUGUUAUUUUAAAAAUUAUUUUGGUAUAAAUUUAAUUUGCUCUCUUGUGAUUUAGCUCAUUUUUAGUAUAUUACCCACAAAGUUGCACUAGUUAUUUUGUGAUUAUAUUUAUUUUUAUCUAAAAAAUAUACUAUCACAUAGAAUAGCUAAGUAAAUUUUUUUAAUAAUUAAAUGUAAUUUUUGAGUUCACAAGAUGAUAAAAAAAUAAUAAGCUAAAUUAUAGGAUGUUAAGUAUAACUUUUUGAAGCACGCAAUGGUAAAAUAAAAAUAAGCUAAGCCAUAGGGCAGCAAUUUUAAGUUAAUUAGUAGGGCAGCAAUUUUAAGUUAAUUAGUAUUCUAUUCGGAUGCAUGAAUAUUUUAUUUCAAAUAUCAUUCUAAUUUACACAAGAAGCACUUAAGAGUAUAUAUGGGCAAAUAUCUAGAAUAGAUACUAUAUUCAUUCUUUAACUUAUUUAUCAGAAUACAAUUAAUCAUCUUAUAGGUACAAAUAUGUUAUCCUAACAAAUUAUAAAUAAUAAAAUAUUUUAAAUAAAAAAUUAAAAUUUUAAUUUCUAAUUAUAUAAAAAAAUCUUUACAUCAAAUAAAUAUCUGAAAUAAGAUUUUAAAGUAUCAAAAUAUAAGUUAAACAUUAUUCAUGUUACACCAUUUUCUUUUUUAUGUGAAGGAAAGAUAUUAAGCUAUCUAUUUUAUUAAUUUCUUUUAAAAAAUAAACUAAUUUAGAAAUGUAAAAGAACUAGUUUUCAAACUUAAUAUCUCAGAUGCCAACUAUCAGUUAGAAUGUGUCACAUACUGUAAAGCACUUUUCGGCCCAUUGAACCUUUAUGAAGUUGCACUUCUGUUAAAGUUGGUUGAUUUUUUAUUUAUUUCUUUAUUAAAAGAUAAAAAUAUAUUGAAUUUAUCUGAAUUAUGAAUUAUUUUGAGUUAGCUAUGGAUAUUUCAAAAUUUUAAUUUUACAAUCUUAUCUUUUAAUUUGUUUGACCAAGUCAGUCAACGAUAUUUUUACUUCAAAAAUUUAAGCUAAUUAUUUAUUUUAAUAAAUUUAUAGCUGCGAGAAUUGUAUGAAGUAUGUUAACAAAAUCUGUAAGAAUAAACGACGGAUUCAAAAUACUCCUUAGUUUAAGUAAGUUCUAUAUGUUUUUACCAAAUUAAAAUUUUCAAAUAACUUUUUGUAUCAAUAAAAAAUAAAACAAAAAUUUAUAUUGGAGCUUAUGUUUUCAAUAAAUAAAUUUUAAAAAUUAGGGGCCUUUGUUUAUAUACAAUUCACUACUAUUCAAAACUUUUAAAUUUACCCAUCUAUUUUCAAAAGUACCCUUAAGGAAUUUUUCAAAACUCCAUGGUCAACUCAAGAUAAAUUAGAUAUUUUUGAAAUUCUGCCAUAUCAUUCCUAAUAAUUAAUAUCUUAAUUUUAUUUCUUAAAUGACGGAUUACUGCUCUAAUAACGGUGUUCAAGAUUUAUCCAAGCUAAAUAUUUGUCUGGGAAUGAUCAAAUUUGUUAAUCAAUGGAUUUUUCUUUUCGAAAAAAAAUUAUAGAAUAAUUUUCCAUGCAUAAUUAUAAAAGAGAAGAAGAGAAAAUAAAGCGAAACACUAUAGAGAUAACUAUGAUUGCUCCUCGACCAUUAAGAUUAUAAUACAAAUUUGUAUAGUCUUGAUACUUUGUGUGAAAAUUUUAUUUUAUUUUAUUUAAAUAUAAAAUUAUUUAAAUAUUAUUUUUUAUUAGUUUAAAUUUUUAGAAUAAAAUGGUUGUUUCGUAUUAUUUUGAUAUGGUAUUAGAAUUGAAGAUUCUGAAUUCAAGUUAUUAAUUUAAGUCCACAUCAUGAGCCUAAUGAAAAGUUUCGAGUUUAGACGUGAGGGAAAGUGUUAAAUAUAAAAAAAUUUAAACAUCGUUCUUUACUAGUUUAAGUUUUUAGAGUGCAACAGUAGUUUCAUUUCAUUUAACAGUUGUUUUGGUUUUAAAGGUGCCUACAAGCUUCCCAUAAUAUAGUUUUGGAUAUAUAUUUGUGUAUAUUCACUCUGAAUAUAGUUUUAUGAGUAAUACUUCAAUACACCAUAUAAAUUUUGACCAUUUAUUUUUCUUAAUAGGUGGUUUAGAUUUAAUAUAAAUCUAGAGGUGACCUACUAUUGAAGCAUUGGUAUCAUUCACCAGGCACCUAUUUAAAGGGUAUUUUGGUCUUUGUAAAAUAUUAUGGUCUACAAAACCAGUUUUAUCCAACUAAGAAUACUGUGAUCUUUUCAAAAGCCUAUGGUAGUUGGAUUUCAAAUUACAACCAAAUUGUAAAUUUAAAUUCAAAACAACAUUUAAAACUUAAUUAUAAAUCAAAUUCAAUUUUUUUAAAUAUAAAACACAAAUUUAAAAUAAAGCUUUCAGUUCCAAUUUAAAAUUUCAAUUUAAAUCAAAAAUUAAAUUUUGGCUUUAAGAUUAAAAAUUCAAUUUAGAUUCAAAUUUAAAAGUUUAAUAUAAAUUUCAAGAUUAAAAUUUUAUAUUACAAUACCAACUUCAAAAAUUAAAUUUAGAUUUAAUAUUUUUUGAGCCGGAUACUUAACAAAUUGGGUAUUAUCUAAUUUGGUAAGUUACCAAAGUAAAUAAAAUAUUUAAUAUUUAUAGGAUGGUGACAAAUUUGGUAUAUACUACUAUUUUUUUUUUCCAAUAUUGUUAUAUUAACUAAUUCAAAUCGGUAACCUGCUCAACAGGUUAUGUCAUGUAAAAUCCAAUUAUACUCUUUACUAAUUAAAGAAUUAGAUUUUAAUAUUUAUGGUGUAUUGAAGCAUUCCUCUAGUUUUAUUAAUCAAUGUGGAUUUUUUUUUUUAUGCUAUUUGUUGCUUGUAAUAUCACAUAUGAUUGUCGACACAUUAAUAGUCUUUAAAAAUAUGUAUAUAGGAGCAGUAAUUUUAUGAAUCUAAACCUACAAGUUAUUGAAACUGGAUGAACGAAUUAGAACGCAACCUAGACAAUGACGUACACAAUUUGAUUAGAAAAAUCUUAAUUAAGAAAGAAGGAAACAAGGGGAAUAAGAUAAUUAAUUACAAGAUGACGUCACAUGAUAUCAAUUAAUUCUUCAACAAGGCCCAAGUAUAAUUUGCCCAAUGGCCUUGAUGCAGGAAACUUACCCUAAUUGGAUUAAAGUUUUUUAGACAAAAAUAUAUCUUCAUUGCUUAGGUUAAAUCACAUGAUUUAGAACUUGCCGAAAGAGUGAAGUUAAUUUUUGUCUAUUAUUAUAGAUAAUUGUUAAUUACGAGACUGUUUGGUUCACUCAUUUUACUUGGUUUCGUAUAGCUACAACUGCUACAGUUAUGUAUAUUUAUUCUCUUUGGUAGUUUGAAAAUGUCUCUAAUUUCUCACCAGUUGGGUGAUUCGUUUUUUUCCCAACUAUUGAUAUAUGGGUGGAGUUGGAGUUAAUUUGAGUAUAAUUCCAAUUAUAUAGUAGUUAGACUCAAAUAUACUAAGCCUGGACACCUAUUUAAAUUUAUGUACAAUUAAAACUAUAAAUAAGUAGUUGUGUGCAGUCAAAUAGCCUCUAUACUGAACAUACAUUAUAGACGGUCACGAUAAUGUAUGAAAAUGUACCUCUCAAAAGAAGAGAUAAAAAAAAAAAAAAACUUUUUAUACACUCAAGAAAAAGGGUGUAGAUCUUACCCCUCACAAUUUAGGGCUGACAGAAUCCAAAUAAUUUUUAAUAAAAAAAAAUGAUGUGAUAAGUAAAGUAUUAAUGACCUUGGAAUAGAGUGGGAGUAAAAUAUACACCUAACUAUGGGGUGUACUGGUAUCAUUGCUCACAAGAAAAUAGCCUCAUAAUUGGUAGCAAAGAUUAUAGCUGCAGUAUAUAUAAUUUUUCUUACAAUAUUUCUCCAAUUUGGAAUUAAAAAGAAAAACUCGUUAGCAAAGUGUAAAUUUCCAGUCAAAUUGGAAAAAAAAGAAGAAGAAAAUUCCAAUUCAAAAUGAAUUGAGCUUUGAAGAGGUUAAUGGCAACAAAAUUUAUUGUGCAUCUCAUAAAAAAGCAGAGAGGGCUGAAAUUACUUUUAAGCUGUAAUUAAAUGCUUAAUUUCAUUGCUUUUGUAAACAAUAUUUGCCCGCAACUCUACUUUUUCAAAAAAUGCGGUUAUUAAUUUUGUCCUGAGUGAUUAUGAAGUCACUUACAAGAUAGAUAGAGAUGAAAAAAAUAAUCAAAAAAACAUAUCUGCUGUAACUUUUUUUUUUUUUUUCCCUUUUAUAUACUAGUGUGAAAUUUUUUUCAAAAAAUAAAUAAAAAAGGGGAUAAUUGUAUUUCUAAAGCCAUUGACUUUUAUCAUGGAACGGUGGUAGAAAAAAUAUUAUUCUUUUGAAUUUCAGGACCAGUAAAAAUCAUUUUUAACGUGAGAAUCGAUUACUUAUCAGCAAACAAACAGGCCCUUCAAGUUGGAAUAUCAUGCAUGGCACAUUUCCACGACUUUGAGUAAUUGCAAGAGCUCAAUAUUUUUGUUCCACCCACUGGCUAUAAGGUGAUGCCUUGGUAUUGAAUACAUUUUCUUUCAAUACUUUAGCACACUUUCUUAAAAAAAUAUAUAUAAUAAAAUAAGAAUAAAAAAACCAUAUCAAGAGUAGUCCUUCAUAUUUGGUACAAGUGAGAAAUUUUUGGCAGCAUAUAGAAAAGAGAAUUCUGAUUUUAUUUAGCAAAAUUGAUUAAUUUUCAGAUCAUUACAUUUUAGCCAUCAGUUGCGCUUAUUUUUGACAUCUUUUUCUUAAGUCUUGCAAACCAUACUCUAGAGGUUACAUAGAGAGUAUCAUACAAACUGUCUACAUAUUGGAACCACCAAAUCCUAAAUCUUUUAUUAACCAACAGGGCUCCAGUAAUAGGCCAAAAUCCAACUGCAAAUCCUGCUAUUGUAAUAAGGCAAAGGAGUAAGAUCUCUUUUCGAUUUUCAUCUGCCUUUUUUGAAACAUCAGAUCCUGCACGACCAUUAACAGUCGGUGGAGUACGACUUAACUGGCCAAUUGUCGGGCCUUCGGCUUGGCCUUCAUUACCUGGGCAACUCACAUUUAUUUGGAAUCCGCAGAGAUAUUGGUUUCCGACAUAUAUGUUAGGGUCGGUGAAUGUGUCCAUCGGAAUUCUUCCUGAGAAGUUGUUGUACGAUAUGUUCCAGAUUUCCAAGAAGCUUAAGUCGGACAAGCUAGAAGGAAUUGCUCCUGAUAACUUGUUUCUCGACAAGUCCAGAUAUAAUAGUUGCGUCAGAUCGCCGAUCUUGAAAGGUAUUUGUCCUGUUAGAUCAUUACUCGACAAGUUGAAUAUCAACAAUCCCAGAAGAUUUGUUAGUUCAUCGGGUAUGCGUCCCGACAAGCUAUUCCUAGAGAGAUCCAAGAUCGUCAUCUGCAAAAGAAGAUCACUACCAUAUUGAUCUUCUCUUCCUUUGAUGUCCAAUAUCAUAUUCUCAUCAUGAAUACCAAUUGUGCUGUUUAGGAUAGGUCCAAUGUUUGUAUGAGGGUUCCUCAUAGCCAUGAAGUUGCCGAAGGUCAUCGGUAUCGGCCCUGAAAGAUUGUUGUUUGAGAGGUCUAAGAUUCGGAGAGCAGUAAGAUUAGAGAGUUCUGUUGGAAUUCGGCCGACAAACUUGUUUGAUUUCAAGCUAAGAAUCUUGAGAGACGAGAGCUCUCCAAGCCAGAUUGGUAUCCUUCCUGUAAACAUGUUACCGCCAAGAUCAAGAGUAUCCAGCAUCUUGCAGGUCUUUAAGGAUGAGGGAAGCUCUCCAGAUAAACUGUUUUUCCUUAGGUGCAAUGAUCGAAACUGAGGCGAUUCACAAAGCCAUUCGGGUAUUCCUCCAGAAAGAUUAUUAUUUGAAAGAUCCAAAACUUCUAAUUGAGUAUUAUUUUGACAGUUUGGGAGCUCUCCUGAUAAAUUAUUGUUUGAGAUUGAUCUGGUAAUCAAUUGUGAACUACAAAUAGACAUGGGGAUCCUGCCAUUUAUUCUAUUCCUCGACAACAAAAGCGCACUUAAAUUAGGCAUUAGCUGGAAAAUAUCAUCAGGAAUAGGGCCCAUAAAUGAAUUGCUUGACAAAUCUAGUUGUGCCGUGUUUGACGGAAAACGUGGCACUGGUCCCUCAAAGAAGUUGGAACUUAAAUCAAUAAAUAAAUCUGUAUCAGCCCUGAAUUUUAUUAAGUUGGGUAUCACACCAUGUAGCUCAUUAUUAGCGAGAUAAACAGUAGAAAGAUUGGUCAUUGAGUUCCAAAACCAAUUUGGCACUGAAUCUGAAAUCCCCGUGGAAGAUAGAUCGAGGCUGGCUAGAGACUUCUGAGUAUGAAGCCAUGAGGGAAACUGGGGGCCUAGUUUACAGCCACGGAAGACCAAAUCACUGAGUUGGAAAGGAGGAACCCAAUUGUUGCUCAGAUUCAAAACCAACGAGUUAGAAGUCAGGUCGAUGAUCUCCAACUUUGUAAGAUUAGAAAAAUGAUAUUCUGAAAUAACUCCGAUGAGAGCGUUGGAGCUAAGAUCCAAAGAUUUUACCUCACUAAGGUUUCCAAGACAUUCCGGAACAGUGCCAUUUAGCUUAUUGUUAUAAAAAGCGAACACCUGUAAGGUGGAUAGUUUACAAAAAGAGGUGGGGAUUGAACCGGAAAGUGAGUUCAAUGAAAGAUCAAGAAUAUUUAGAUUGUUCAGGUCACUGAUCCAAUCCGGCAUGUUGCCACUUAGAGAUGUGCUACUUAAGUACAACUCUCGCAAGCUAUUUUGGAGACAUCCAGAAAAAGACUCUUUGAGUGCAUCUAACCGGGAAUUAAUUGUGGAACCUGAAAAAUCUAGUGUGCGAAGCUCACAGAGAUUGCCCAAACUAGACGGCACCCCGGCAUCGAAGUCAACAUUGCCCAGUUCAAGCACCUUUAGAGAAGCCAAGUUUCCAAUUGCAGAUGGAAUGAGCUCUGCAAAUCCACUUGAAGUGAGAUAAAGAUAUUGAAGGGAAGUAAUUCUAAACAACCAGUCGGGUAAGCUAGAAUUUACUUCGCUGUUAUUAGGAUAAUCAUCAAGUGACGUGUAAGAAAGAUCCAAAAGGGAAAGAGAGGUAAAAUUGACAUGCGGGAGAGAUUGUGGAAAGUUAACAAGUUGGCACUGCUGCAAACGAAUGUCUUGUACUAAAGGAAGCAUGUUCAAUGCUUGUAGGCAAUUAGACGUAUUCUCAAUCGAAGAAUAGCUCAUAUCAAUAUGAAGUAGAGAGGUGAGUCGAGAAAGCCAAUUAGCGUUACUCAAUGUAAGUGGAUUACCAGAAAGAUCCAGAAUUUGAAGUCUUGAGAGAUUUCCGAGCUGAUCGGGUACCGUCCCAAAAAAAUACGACUGAGAUAUGUUAAGAUAGUUUAACUUCUCGAACGAACCGAUCCACUGGGGAAUCGAUAUGCCUGCAAAGUAAUUGCUGCUGAGAUCCAAAUAGCUCAGUUGCUUAAGACGGAGCAAAGAAGGAUUGAUUUUGUUGCCGACAAGUUCUCUCCCUUGAAGAUCUAAAUGCACGAUGUGUCCGGUUCGGUUGUCGCACUCCACGCCUUCCCAUUUGCAGCAAUUUUUUCCCUCCCAAGAAAAGAAGACAGCUGCAGUUCGGUUGAAACCUCCGGCAAACCUCAGAAGUGCUUCCCUCUCGGCAUCUGGGCAACUCAUAUUAGAAGAUUUGAAUGCCACAGCAUAUGCAAACGAGAGGAACAACAGCAAAGCUCUUUUUAUUGCUUUGUAAUAAUCCAUUCUCAGAAUUUCUUCUUCUUCUUCUUCUUUUUUUUCUUUUUUUUUUUUUUUUUUUUUUUGUUUUCCCCGAUUUUUUUUUCUUUUUUUUUAGCAGUGCCUCACGUUGGAUUUAUAGUUACCAAAGCUUAUAGGCUAAAAAGUCAGUCAACACGAAGUUGCACCGAAAUGCCACCAUAAAAUGCUUCCCACUUUGUUGACGAGGGUGUUUAAUUUUCCAAGAUGACUUAGACUUCACCAUUAUGGAAAAGCCGAAAGCUAAUUUAAUAAAGAGACAAUCUAUAAUAUCUAUAAUCUAUAAUAACAUACAUGAAUUCUCAGUUUUGGAACAGGUGGCGAGCGUGGAGGCGUGGGCAGGGGCGAGCGCGGGGCGCGGGCAGGCGGGCGCGCGUGGCGGGGCGCCUCGUGGCGCGGGCACGCGGGGCGCGGGCAGGAAGCGCGAGCCGGCGCAAGGCGCGGCGGGACAGGUGGCGGCGAGCGAAGCGCGGCAGGGGCGAGCGUGGGGCGCGGGCCGGCGGGCGUGCGUGGCGGGGCCGCCGCGUGGCGCGGGCGAGCGGGCUGCGCGGCAGGCGGCACGUGGGCGGGCCACGUGCGCGGGGGAGAGGAGAGGGAGAGGAGAGGAGAGGCGGGCGCACGUGGGCGCGGGCGCGCGGGGCGCGCGCAGGCGGGCGAGCUCGCGGGCCGCCGCGUGCGCGGGCGAGAGGACGGGGAGAGGAGAGGAGAGGAGCGAGAGGAGAGGCGGGCCCAGCUAGGAGAGCAGAGAAGGUAGAGAGAAGGGAUUUUUUUUUUUUUUUUUUUGUCUCUUUUUGUCUCUUUCUACUUUUUCUUUUUUAUUUUUAUUUUAUAAUAUUGUUCUCUUAAUAUAUGAUUAAAAAAUUUAUAAAUUUUUUAAUUCAAUUAAAAUUUUAUUUAUUUUUAUAAAAAUUUAAAAUAUAUAAAUAAUUUUAAAUAAGUUAAUUAUUUGUAUUCAAUAUAAAUUUUAAUUAAGAUGAAUUAAAGAAUUAUUAAAAAUAGAUAAAAAAUAAGGAAGGAUUUAAAAAUGAAACAUUAAAAAAGUAAAAAAAAUAAAAAUAAAAGAAUAAGAUAGAUAGAAGAAAGAAUAGAGAGCAAAAUGUAAGAACAAUAAAUUAAUUUUUCUAAAAAUUAUAUAUAAUUAUAAUAAUAAUUAUAAUAUAUAUAAUUAUAAAUAUAAUUAUAUAUAAUUUCUUAUUAGUAUGAUUUUUAUCUUUAUUUUUUUAAUCUUUCUUAUAAUUUAUUUUUAUAAUUUUAUUACAGCAAUAGUUGUUUAUUUUUUAGUUAUUUUUUUAUAUAAUUUUUUGACUCCUUAUUUUUAUUAUUAUUUAUUUUAUUUAUAUAUUUAUUUCUGCAAAAUCAUCCCGCCGCAACGCGCGGGUCCUUCACUAGUUAUCAAUAUAUCCCUCUCAAAUUCUCACCUGUUAUAUAUUGCGCUGAAAAACAUCUGUUCCUAAAUAUAUCUUCCAAAAUUUUUAAAUAAAAAUUAAAAGAAAAUCAAAUCCUUGGAUUCGGUUGGGUCUGAAUAAUUAAUAUACUAUAUACCAAUAUUCUAAAAGGAAAUAUGUAAAAAAAACAUACCCUGUCAUUUAACAUCCGGGCGGCACUCGAUCUACAUAUUUAAGUUAUUAAUGCACUUAUUGGGUCUAUUUGAACGAAUUUGAAUAGUGGCUGCCCACAUAAGCUCGAGUAUGGAUAAGGAUGUCCAGUACGGAUAUCCGAAAUUUUAUCCGAAACCAAAUCUGAAAAGAACGAAUUUAUUCAAUUCUAAACGGAAAUAGUUUUGGAUAUGAAUAUAAGAAACAAAAACUCAAAUAAUUUGGAUUCAGAUAUGAAUUUAUUUAUAUAUUUUUUGAAUUAUACUUUAAAAAUUUAGAUUUAAUGUUAUAUAUUUUAAAAUAUUGUAAAUAGAAAUAAUUGUUUCGGGUUCGGGUUUGGGCUCUGGUUUCGAAGAAGUUUAGGUAGGGCUGGCAAACGAGCGAGCCGGCUCGCGUUCGACUCGUGUUCGGCUCGAUAUUUGGCUUGCUCGAGCUCGACUCGAAAUUAAAUGAGCCGAGUUUGAACAAAAUAAAAGGCUCGAAAUUCAUUUCAAGCCGAGCUUGAGUAUUACUCGGCUCGUUCGAAUUAGGCUCGAAAAGCUCGAAAAGCUCGAAAAGCUCGAAAAUAUAUAUAUAUAUAUAUAUAGGCCGGGGCUACUAUACUCUUAUGAGUAUAGACCCCCUUGUACUCAUAAAUUUUUAACCGUUGAUUGAUGGGAUGUGUGGUUAGGAUGAUGGUGGUCCCACUUAAAAUGAUAGUGGUCCCCUAGAGUUGAGUGGGUAGUUGGUUGAAUAGUAUGAUCUAACGGAUGGAAAUGAUCAGUGAAAUAAAUCUAAGGGCCGAAAACUUAUGAGUAUAAAAGAGCCAAUACUCAUAAAAGUACAGUAGCCGGACUCUAUAGAUAUUUAUAUAUAUAUAUAUAAUGUAUUUUAAUUAUAUAUAGGCUUUAAUUUAAUUUGGGCCAUUAUUGUUGGCCCAUAAAAUAAACCCAACAAGUACAACCGUGCAAUUGAGCCCAACUCUAAAUUUACAUAACACACUCUCUCUUUCAGACUUUCACUGUUGCACAUAACCCUAAAAUAUGAUAAUAUUCAAAUUUCCAAAUCCCUAAUUUUUUUUCCUCUCUCUCUCUCUCUCUCUCUCUCUGACCCUCACCCAGUCAGGCAGUCACCCUAGCUCACAUUUCUUACAAUUAUUUUGUAUUUUGAACUAUUGAACAUAUUGUAUCAAAUUAUAGGUAAUGUUCUAUAAAAAUUAAACUAUUGAUUAUAUUAUGUCGAGAAUUUCAAUCGGCUCGUUUAGAGCUCGAGCUCGGCUCGACUCGAAAUUAGGCUCGCUCGAGUUCGGCUCGAAUUAAUUUCAAGCCGAGCUUGAGCCUAGAUUUAAGCUCGAAAUUAAUUUCAAGCCGAAUUUGAGAUGACAUAAGCUCGCUCGAGCUCGGCUCGUUUCCACCCCUAAGUUUAGGUCGGGGUCGUGUUUGGAUAUAGAUUUUUAAAAUCCAUCGGAUUGGGUUUAGAUUCGGGUUUCGGGUUUGGUAGUCGGGUUUGGAUUCAGUUUUUUGAAAAUUUGCUCUAAAUCCAACCCGUUGACAUCUCUAGGUACAGAUCGGACAAGGAUCGAGUCUAGAUCGAGUACAGAAACCUCUAUAUGUAUAUAUUGUAUAAAGCACAAAUAUUUAUUCUAUGGUAAGUGUAAAAUAAAAAUAUAAAUUUAUAAUAGAUACACCAUAAGUUCAAAACACAUGCAUGUAUUUUUUUGAGAAAAAGGUAGCACGCUACCUGCUUCAUUCAUUUAGAGGAUGAAUUAGGCUUACAUAAUGGAGGCAACCGGGGCCUCCGACGGGAGAAAGAGCGUCAAAAGCCAGAAAAACAAAGACAAGAAACGAAAACGACAAGAGACUAAAACCAAAAAAAAGAAGGAAAUGAGGGUAAGGGAAGCGAAAGCGACAAAUAACUAAAACCAAAAGAGGAAGAAAGAAAGUGUAAAAGCGACAGGCGUCAAACAGCAGGGAUCCAGCAGGGUCAACAAGGAGCGAUCCAGGUGUCAAGCAGCAGUUUUGCCCGUUCCAGGCACCGAGUAGGGUUGGGGGCAAUCUCUCGAAAGAUUAAACUAUUCCUUUUCGUCCAAACGACUCACCAAAUGGCAGAAAGGAGGGAGGGGGAAAUAAGUCUCUCUUUGGCGUCUCUUAGAUCAAUAAGUUUAGACCAGAGGUCUCUCACAUCGUCCGAGGGAUCAGUCAGAGCCUCCAAGCCGCCUACGCUCAGCAAAAUAAAGCGAACAAAGACACAGGAGCUUAUGAGGUGGUCGCAACUUUCCAAAUUAACGGCACAGAAAAAACAUGUUUGAUCCGCUAGCCACCCUUGCUUAUGGAGCCUGUCUGCAGUGGGGAUCCUCUUACGAAGUAGUAGCCAUAGGAAUACUUUGAUCUUGCCAGGGAUAUUCAAUUUCCAGAUAUGUUGACUUAGGGGGUCCACCAUGCCUGAGUCCGUGAGAAAGUGAUAAAGGGAUCUGACUGAAAACUUUUGGUUGGAGGUCCAACGCCAUUUGAUUAGGUCCGGAAGCUGAGUUGGCCGGAUGGGCCGAAGCAAGUCCAUAAGCAGGCCCUUUUGUCUAUGAUAGUUCACAGGUAGAGGCCCUGCUGGACCGCGGCAGAUAUAUUGCCACCGCCAGCCAUUAGGGCCCCAGCACUGAGCAAUAGUUGUCUCCUUGUUUCGGGUAUGACCGUAGAUGUCGGGGAAGAGAGUACGAAGGGGAGCCUCGCCGUACCAAAUUGAUGACCAAAUCUUAAUAUCUUUGCCGUUUCCGAGGUUGUAGGUUGUACCGCAUUUAAAGAUGUCCCGGCAUCGCAUUACACUUUUCCACCACUGAGAAUAUGGCACAAAGGCCCUGCCCUCAUGAAGAGGUUUGCGUCUAAUAUAAUAAAUCGAUUUGACUAACUUCUUCCAAGGUAGAUCUGGUUCGCUAAAGAAGCGCCACCACCAUUUAGUUAAAACCGCUGUAUUCAUAGUUGCCAAAUCCUUGAUUCCUAGGCCUCCUUCUUUUUUGCUUUUGCAGACUGCCCUCCAAUUUACGAGGCAUGCCCCUCCAGAUAUGUUUGUGCAUCCGCACCAAAAGAAAGCUCUCCUCAAGGCUUCAAUUCGGCGCAGAGCCCAUUGUGGAGCUUUAAAGACGGAGAGGAAGUGAAGUGGCAGAUUUGAAAGGACAGAGUUCACGAGGAUCAACCUCCCUCCUUGGGAGAGGAGCUUGGCCUUCCACCUUUCAAUUCUCUUAUAAUGCGGUUGAUAAUGAUCGACCAGUCCUCUUUUCGCAAAGAUCUAUUGCAAAGGGGUAGUCCCAGAUAGCGGAUAGGGAGGCUUCCAACUUGGCAGCCCAGGAUGUUAGCAAGCCUGGUAGCUCUAGAGGUGUUUGAGCCCAGGUAGUACAGUUCGGACUUGUCCAUAUUGAUUUGGAGUCCAGAGGCCCAUUCAUAAAAUUUCCAUAAGAAACGCAAAUUUCGCAGGAUAAAUUUCCUAGGCUCGCAGAAGAAGAUCGUGUCGUCGGCAAAUUGAAUCAGAAUAGUUUGACAGUCCGAAGUUGGGCCGAUUCCCCGAAGAAAGCUAUUCCUGCAGGCCAUGUCGGAAAGUCUGGAAAGACAAUCUGCAACAAUCAAGAAGAGAUAGGGGGAGAGAGGGUCGCCUUGCCGAAGACCCCUUCGUGUUUUCAGCCAGUUUGUAGGAGUGUCGUUCACAAGGAUGGCUAUUUUGGCGUUACAGACGCACUGUUCAAUCCAGGACCACCAUUUUUCACUAAACCCGAGCCAAAGCAUGAUUCCUUUCAGAAAGGGCCACCGAACGUUGUUGAAAGCCUUUUCAAAGUCUGCUUUGAGACUGACGCAUUCCUUCCUAGUUUUGGAGCACAAACUGAUUAGUUUGCAGGCGUUGACGAACGAGUCCGCAAGCAGUCGGUCUUUGAGGAAGGCCGAUUGGGAAGGAGAAAUAAUAGACGGUAGAACCAGGGCAAUCCUAUUCGCAAGAACUUUGGAAAUAAUUUUCUGGAUGCCGUUGAUGAGACUAAUUGGGCGAAAAUCCUUGGCCUGGCACGCGCUUUCUUUCUUGGGAAUGAGGCAGAUGAAGGAGUAGUCAAUCGGGGCUGUGGAAAGCGUGCCCCCUUGGAGAUCAAUGAAAAUCUUGUAAAUGUCGUCUUUAACGGUUUCCCAAAAAGUUUGGUAGAAGAUAAGUGGAAACCCAUUAGGUCCAGGAGCUUUAUCACUACCAAGUUGAAAAGUAGUAGCCUUAACUUCCUCCAUGUCGAAGGGGGCAGUUAGACACUCAGGUUGUAGUAGCGUGUUGGAUUGGAAGAGAGCGCUCCAAUCCCCGAAGGAGGAAGGUCCGUUCUCUGCCUGACCGAACAAUCGGUGGAAAUACUGAUAGAAAAAGUAUCUUUUGUGAUCCUCCGUGUUUAACAGUCUCCCAGUGUCAUCUUCUAUUACUUCAAUGGGGUUGGUGCGUUUCCUUCCGUUGGCCACAGCAUGGAAGUACUUGGUAUUAGCGUCCCCCUCCUUGAGCCAUAAUUGUUUGGACCUGGUUUUCCAGAGGACUUCCUCUUCUUCCAAAAUCUGUGUGAGGUUUGAUUUGAUACGUUCUCUCUUAUCGUGGAGAUCUAAGCUCAGAUCUUGGAGCUCUUCCAUCUGAUCAAUGGACUGAAGCUCAUCCAGAAGGGACUUCUUAGCUACGGUAAUAUUGUAAAAGUUCGAUUUGCACCAUUCCUUCAUACGAACUCUGCAGUGCCUCAGUUUAGCAGCAAUAGUGAGGAUCGCUGAUCCUUUAGGACUGACUUCGUUCCACCAUGUGGUACUUUGGAGAUAAAAUCCUCUUUCGUGAGCCAGACUUUCUCAAAACGAAAUCUACGCGUCGGAGGUGGGAGCCUAGAGUAGAGGAGGAUCGGAGUAUGAUCAGAGGUGAUUCUAGGGAAGGCUUUGGCCUUGCACAGUGGGUGAGAGAGGUCCCAUUCCGUGGAGACGAGGAACCUGUCUAGUUUUGCCAUGGUGGGUUGACGAUACAUGUUAGACCAAGUGAAGCUUUGAUUUGAAAGCGGAACAUCAAUGACCUUUAGGUUAUUGAUAAGAUCCGAGAACAUCUCCAUGGAUUUUCUACUCCAAGUACGUCCACUCCUUUCGGUUUGAUUUCUGGUGAAGUUAAAAUCCCCACAGAUGACCCAGCUGGUGCAGCAAAUAUCUUUGAGGGAAGCCAAUUCAGAACAGAAGGCGUCCUUACCCUCCCAGGUGGGGGGUCCGUAAACAUUAGUGAUGAAGAAGGUCGAGCCGCUCGCGUGAUGGGAGAGGCGUAUGGUAAGAGAGUACGAUCGAACAAUAACUUCUAGCCCAGCAAAGUAACUCGAGCACCAAUAGAUAAUAAGACCUCCUGAGGCCCCGACGACCGGCAAAAAGUGACAUUUAUCAAAACUAGAGCCACAACAUGAUCUAAGAAAAGACCGAGAUACAGAGUCGACUUUAGUUUCCUGGAGACAGACAACUGCACGGUAGUGCCUAGACACGAUAGAUUUAACUAGACAUCUUUUACGAGGAUCAUUGAGACCUCGAACGUUCCAACUAAGAAAGGAAGACAUCAAAAAGAGACGAUCCCCUUAGGAGCAACAUCAGAACAGUAAAAGGGAGAGAAACUAAGUUAAAUUAGACCCCGACGGACAGGAAGUUCUGAAGAUCCUUCGCUUCAGCAUCAGAUAUCGCUACUCCAAGCAGAAGACUCUUCUUCUUGAUUUUAGAGCGAGACAGAUUACGAGCGGAGCGGCCUGGUUCAGACGAGGAUCCUUCCAAUAGUUUAGCUUUCCUGUUCGUUGCUCGCUCGAGCACGUUGACAUCCGUCAGAUUCGAGAGUCUGGCGCUUACCUUAAGGGAGGUUAGGGCUCCGCCAGUCAGUUGGGAGGGGGAGGGCUCAGCAGAGUGGAGGGGGGGAGCAUGCUGGUAGGACAGAAGGAGCCCAAGGCCGGGCCACAGGAGGUAGGCAAGGUGGGAGGCAGCAAGUAGUCUCCGACCCCCGGGGAGGGAAGGCGCGUCAUGGGAGGGAGGGCGAGCCGGGGGGGCUUCGGGCUGGCAUGAGAGCUCAGGGGGUUCAAGCCCGGACUGAGGGAGCACCGAUCAGGGGAGCCCGAGGCCGGACUGUCCAGGGCGAGGCCCACGUUGGGUCCACAGAUGGGUUCCAGCAAGCGGAGGAGGCGGGCCGGGGGAAAAUCUGGCCGCGACCGGGGCCCCAGCCCAGGGGUACGGGCUGGCGAGAAGCCACAGUGCCAGCCGGGGGAGCCGCUCGACCUAGGCGGGGAGCACAGGCAGGCGCGGAGCUCGAUCGCGGGGAGCUGCGGACUGCCGCGGGAGGUGCUCGGCCAUGCGAGGAGGCUCGGCCGACAGUGAGGGAUCGCGUAGUCCAGGGUCAGAGGGAGCACUCAGGCAAGAUCAGGCCGAGCCGGCUCAUCCAAGGCCAGGCCUCAAGUUGGGCUCCACAGAUUGGUUCGAGCAGGCGUGGGAGCUCGGUAACCGGCGGGGGACUCGCGGCGGGGGAGCUUGGAACCUGGCGGGUAGGGCUCGGGCCGGCGGAGGAGGAGCUCGGCCGAGCGGGGAGCUUGGACCGGCGAGGGCUCGGGCCGUCGGAAGGUCCUAGAGUCCGAACAGAGGGAGCACAAGCAGAAAGGCAGAUGCGGCGGGGGACUUCGGACCGACGGGGGAGCACAGGCGCGGAUCGGUGAGAGCUCGGGCCGCGCUGGGUGGAUGCUCGAAACCGCUGGGGGAGCCGACACCGCAGGAGUGGCUCGUGGCGGCAAGUGUAAUAUACGAAAAAUUUCGGGUUGCGAUGCUAAUUUUAAUCUGGAAUAUUAAAGUGAAAUGUGAAUUGGAUGUGCAUCAUUCCAGAGUGUUUCUGGACGUGUGGGAAUGAUCUCUGGAGGUAAUUGGGUAUUCGGGCACAAAUCGGGCGCGAAAUGAACUUGAAAGGGAAUUUUCGGAUUAUGACGCUAACUUUAACCUACGCGAUCAAAGUGAGAUAUGAAUGUUAAUUAUAGUACCUCCGAAUUAUUUUGGAAGUGCGAGGAUAGUUAAUGACAAAUUCCGGAGAUGCUUGGAUGUUAAAAAAAUAAAAAAAAAGUCGGAUUUUGAUUACAUUGUUAAAUUUGGAACAAGUUGGUCGAAGUAAGGCCAAAAUAAAAUUAAUUUGCUUUCGAGCUUAAUUAGUAGCUUCGGCAUAGUGUUUAGUAUGAUUUGGAAGUGAUUAGAAAUAUUCGAGGCGAGGCAAGGUGGAAGAACGAAAUGGGUUGAUAAUGCUGCUGCUGCCAGAAAAUUCUGCAAGUGCAGAUUUUGCAUUGUGUACCUCAGUGAGGUACAGGUGUGUACCUCAGUGAGGUACAGGCCUUUAAAACCUGCAGCAGGGCUGAAAUGUACUUAUGUUGAAUUGAGGGGUUAAGUUGCAAUUUGUCAAGCUUAUCACCUAUUUCCAGCUGAGUGGCAUGUGUCCACGUAAUUGGACCCAACUCCUCUUCACUGGUUCUCAUCUUUAUCCCCUUCCUUAUCUCUUUACAAGCUUAGGGGAAUUGGUGGAGAGGGUGACAGCUUGGGUGUUUGAGGUUGUGACGAGUAGGGAAACCAGCAGAGGAGAAGUUAUAAUCAGAGGUAAGAGAUGGUUUCCAAUUAAUAAUCAAGUUAAAUGCACUAAGAGAGGUUCUCUAAGGUAAUUAAACUUGGUGUUAUGCUGUAGAUUAAUUGGAAGCUAUACAAGAGAAGGAAGUUGUUAAAGUGCUACCUUGGUAGAAAGGCUGCCAAGGAAGCUAAUGAAGCAGAAUUUAAGAUGUUGGAGCUGCCGAAUUGGAGCUGCCGCUGAGGAAGCUUUAGAACAAAAUUUUAAGUUGUUGGAAUUGAAAGUAACCAGAGGGAUUAUCAAAUUAAGGUAAAGUGUACUCGAUAAUUAAUUACAGUUCAUGUAAUUUCAUUAAAGAGGAGUUACAACAUUGAGGUUUGCUGCUGAAAUUGGCAGAUUUAGUGUGUAGGGCUUGUUGAAGCUGCCGAAGUGAGAAAUUCAACCUGGGAAGCUUUGAACCUGAGGUAAUUAAUGACUUCUCAGCGAGGGUCUAGUUUAAUUACUCCUUAAGAGAGAGUUCUAGAUAAAGUAAGCAUGUAAAGAAGCUUAAAGGAGCCUUUAAUUGGUUCAAGUGAAUAUAUGUAUGCAGGAAAUUUUCGAAUUGAGGGAAGCAAUGGUGCAGAAUUCCAGCAUGGUGCAGAUUUUGAGGUUGAGCUGAAAUUGUUGCCUUAUUAGAGCUUCUUUGGUGUCCAAACUAAAAGAGGACCAAGUGGAACUUCAAGCUCAGGUGAGAUUAAUGUAAGUUCCUGGGCUAAUGGGUGUUAAUUGUACUCUAUGCUGUAAUGACUACAAAGAGAGUAGUCAUGAGGCAGAUUUCAGCAUUGAAUUCUGUUUACUAUUGAAGCUGAUUUCUAAGUAAUUGAAGCUAAAAAAAAUGAAACUCUAGGAUGCUGGGAGCAACUUAGAAAGCUUCUAAUUCAGGUAAGAAUAGAAAUUAUCCCUGAUUUGAGUAGUGGAAUGUUAUAAAGAUAAUUUCUAAGUGAGUUGUGAAGCACAAUUUUUGAAAUUCAGCCUGAACUGAAUUUCAGCAUGAGAGGUAUUUGUUAUUGAGCUGAGAACUAUGUAAUUGGACAGCAAAUUAAGUCACUUAUAAUUAUGUUAUGAUUAGGAGUUAGAUUAGUUACUCUAGAAGAGUUCUAAGCAUAAGAACUAAUUGUUCUAUGCUUAUAAUAAAUGCUCGAAGAGGAGGUGAAAUGCUGAAAAUUCAGCAUGAAGCAAGAUUUCAGCAUAAUGCUGAAAAUUAACAUUGAGCUGAAACUUUAAGUAUUAUGGCUUCUAUGAGAUUUGCUUUAGUAAAUACUUAUGAGUAGUUGUUAAAAGGUGAAAUUGAACUAAGACCAUGAUAACUUUAUCUUAAAGUUGAUAAGAAGUUUGAGAGUGAGAUUAUACUGAUGUACAUGUGGAAAGUAUAUCUAUAUGUAUAUAAGUGCUUAGAAGUUGAAAUGCAAGUUUUGUUGAAAAUGAAUAUGACGUCGGUUUAAUCUCUCCUAUACUUAUUUGAAUGAAAGUUAAACUUGCUCGAAAGUCAAAAUUGAUAUUCCGACAGGUCGGCGACGCAUUAAUUACGGUAGAAGCCAAUUCGUCUCUAAUUGCAUCGAGUCGCGUGAUAUUGUUCUUGAUACACUUCAAGACGUGAGCUCUUAGUUGUUGACACCACUACAGGUGGGUGGUGCUAUCCGAAGUCUUUGAAUCACCUUUUAUGUCUAUGAUAAUUCAUUGAGCAUAUUUAUAUUUGUUGUCAUGCAUUAUAGGGUAUUGGCAUUGUGCAAGUGAAAGUAUGUAUUCCUAUCAAUAGUGAGAACAUGUGAACAUUAGAAUGUGAAUAUAGAACCCUAUGAAUGUAUGGACUAUAGCAAUAGUAAACUUGGUGACAUUCAACUAGAGAUUUGGUUAGCAUCGAGAAAUGGAAUUGUGAAACUAGCAUAAAGAACUAGUUAGAGUAAAGUGUAACAGUGUUUGUCAGUUGAAUCCUCUAAAAGGGGAUCAGAUCAUACUCACAUUUGUUUAGUUCAAGUGAGGUCGCUCCUCCUUGAACGAUGAGCUCCGGAGUAGUCAUCUUUACUGGACCAGGAGGUGCGUCUCCCCCAGUUGACGGUCCCAUCGGGUGCAGGUGCGUCUCCCCGAUAUUUGGGAUAGCGUCAGUGAGUAAUUGUUAACCAGAGGGUUAACCAAAAUGAAUUGGAUAAACUCAGUAAAAGCAUGCAUGCAUAUUUACAGUUUUUCUAUAUUGCUUUCUUUCAGCUUUGUACAGGUAUUGUAGUAGUUACAUAUUAUAGUUGGUUACUAUCUCAGUUUACUUUUCUUGCCUACAUAUGCCUGGAUAGACCUAGUGGGUGAGUCGGCGAGGUCGGCGGCCGAACCCACUGGGAACUUUUAGUAGUUCUCACACUACUAACCAUACAG
rnacentral:lncRNA from 1 species